UCUUCAGCGUCGAUGGUAGUUGGGGGUUUCCCCCUGUGAGAGUAGAACGUCGCCUGGU
rnacentral:rRNA from 1 species